GACGAACGCUGGCGGCGUGCCUAAUACAUGCAAGUCGAACGCAGUGGGGACGGGUGAGUAACACGUGGGUAACCUCCCAUCAGAGGGGAUAACACUUGGAAACAGGUGCUAAACCGAUACUGAUGGAUGGACCCGCGGUGCAUGAGCUAGUUGGUGAGGUAACGGCUCACCAAGGCCACGAGGCAUAGCCGCCCAGAGAGGGUGACCGGCCCCACUGGGACGGAGACACGGCCCCUGUUCCUAUGAGAGGCAGCAGUAGGGAAUCUUCGGCAAUGGACGAAAGUCUAACCGAGCAACGCCGCGUGAGUGAAGAAGGUUUUCGGAUCGUAAAACUAUGUUGUUAGGAGAGCGGUAUCUAACCAGAAAGCCACGGCUAACUACGUGCCAGCAGCCGCGGUAAUAC
rnacentral:rRNA from 1 species